ensembl:lncRNA
AUACGGGUUUAAAAAAAGAAAUAACUUGACUGGCAUCAAUGAAUAGAAUUAACAUUUUAAAACAAUAUAAUUAACAUCUAAAAGAAAAAAUAUGCAUCCUGGGGUUGGGAAAUCCAGUUCAUAUUAAAAAAAGAAGCCAGGAAAGGAAUUAUUAUUGGACAUCCCUCUCAGGCAAUGGAAAUGAUAGAAAUCUCUCCACGACCUGUCUGCCUCUUUGACCAUAGGUGGCAGUUCCAAUUUUGCUCCCCAAGAAGUUCUUUCCUAUUGUCCAGCUGUUCUCUGCUGGAAUCCUUCUUAUGCAGUUCCACCUGUUGAGCUCUAUUUAUAUCGGAGCCAUCCUGGGACCACAAAGAGAGCUGGGUAGGAGCAGGUGUGGACACAGCAUGGACUCUUUAUUUAGUUCAGCUGAACUUUUUCUGGCCACGGAGGGAAGGAAGAGAGGCUCAGAAGAAAGGGUUCAAUCACCUGGGACUUGCACAGAUUAGCCAUUUCCCCAGCUUCUCCAUUCUGCUUGUCACAGAAGAAGAAGGCACUUGUUGAUGGAGUGCCCUUUGUCAAAGGAAGCUUUCUGAAGCUCAGGCUUCUCCUGAAGUACAUGGUUCAGAUCAGCAGCCUUUUUGAGUGUACUAAUCAAUGAACCCUACAGCAAGCCAAAGAGCCUGGGCACCUGUAGCCAUUUAGCCUUGAACCCAUGUAGUCAGGCUCAUAGCUACCAAAAAACCAAACCCACCAACCCUGGGAAAGUUGAAAACCCUUGAGUAGUUCAGUCAAAGGAAGUUUGGGAGCAGCUGAGUGGCUCAGUGGACAGAGAGCCGGGCCUCAAGACCAGAGGUCCUAGGUUCAAAUCUGACCCGAGACAUUUCUUCAUUUUGUAACUCUGGGUAACUACUUCACCCCCAUUGCCUAGCCCUUACAGCUCUUCUGCUUUAGAAUCAAUAUACAGUAUUGAUUAUAAGAUGGAAGGUUAGGGUUUCAAAAGUAAAAAGUAAGCCCAGUAGCUAUGGCCCCAAACGCAUAAGUUGGAGUUUAAAUAUCAACUAGUUGACAGCUCUCCAAGAGUCUUCCCUCAUCCCAACCAACUUGAAUCAAGACCAUUUCCCAUCACUCCAAUCAAGGUUCCUUGCUCCACAGUGCCUAAUCCUACUGGACCAAGACAAGAACCCUAUAAAAACCCACCAGACCCAUCAGUUUUGGGUGGUCCAUUCCUUUCAUUUUUAUUUAUUUAUUUAUUUGUUUGUUUGUUUUAAACCCUUAAAUCCUGCCUUAGAAUCAAUGCCAUGUAUUGGUUCCAAAGCAGAAAAGUGGUAAGGGAUAGGUAAUGGGGGUCAAGUGACUUACCCAGG